rnacentral:rRNA from 1 species
CUAGCGACUUCAGAGUUUGAUCCUGGCUCAGGAUGAACGCUGGCGGCGCGCCUAACACAUGCAAGUCGAACGGUUAAAGCACCUUCGGGUGUGUAUAAAGUGGCGAACGGCUGAGUAACACGUGGGCAACCUGCCCCUCGCACCGGGACAGCCUCGGGAAACCGUGGUUAAUACCGGAUACGACCCCCCGGCGGCAUCGCCGGAGGGUGAAAGCUCCGACGGCGAGGGAUGGGCCCGCGGCCUGUUAGCUAGUUGGUGGGGUAACGGCCCACCAAGGCCAUUAUGGGUAGCUGGGUUGAGAGACCGACCAGCCAGAUUGGGACUGAGACACGGCCCAG